UUUUUGUUGUGAUAAGUUUUGCUGUACUAACUGACAAAACUUACCACAGCAAAAAAUCUCCUCAAAAGAGUAAAUAAGAAGCCGGCAGUCUAUAAGUUGCCAACAAUAUUCAAUAGAAUAAGGGGAAUGAAAAGCAAAAAAAGGAAUGAGGGCCAAAAAUCUGAAGUGUAUAAAAUUUCAGCUAAGUUCUUAGACUCCCAACAAAGUACUGCAUACGUAGGUGUUACUACACGAAUCUUGCAGCAAAGAAUUGCCAGCAUAAAAAAAACAUAGCCACGGGAGCUACAAGCACUGCCCUUACAGUAGCUGCAUAAGCUGUAGAUAUAAGGAUAAACUGGAAAGAAGUGAAGGUCAUAAAGCCAUUGAUCAAGAAAUCACAGGUAUUAAUGGCAGAAGCCAUAGAGAUCGUAAAAGCUAAAGGUAAUGAGUCAAUAAUAAAUGAAAGACCAGCGAUAGAGAUUCCAGAUAUGUGGGCUUAUCUGGCUGAAAGGAGGAAAUGCGAGAGAGCUAAGAACUGUGUAAUGGAGCACAAGGAAAGUCUUAUAUGCUAUCCCAAAGAAAUGUAUAAGAAGUUUUAUUUAUUGUUUUUUUAUUUUAUGUUACAGUUUUGAUAGAUUAGAGAUGAGACAUAAUAUUAAUGUAAC
rnacentral:lncRNA from 1 species